rnacentral:rRNA from 1 species
UGGCUCAGGACGAACGCUGGCGGCGUGCCUAAUACAUGCAAGUCGAGCGAAGUUUUUCUGGUGCUUGCACUAGAAAAACUUAGCGGCGAACGGGUGAGUAACACGUAAAGAACCUGCCUCAUAGACUGGGACAACUAUUGGAAACGAUAGCUAAUACCGGAUAACAGCAUUAACUGCAUGGUUGAUGUUUAAAAGUUGGUUUUGCUAACGCUAUGAGAUGGCUUUGCGGUGCAUUAGCUAGUUGGUGGGGUAAAGGCCUACCAAGGCGACGAUGCAUAGCCGACCUGAGAGGGUGAUCGGCCACACUGGGACUGAGACACGGCCCAGACUCCUACGGGAGGCAGCAGUAGGGAAUCUUCCGCAAUGGGCGAAAGCCUGACGGAGCAACGCCGCGUGAGUGAAGAAGGAUUUCGGUUCGUAAAGCUCUGUUGUUAGGGAAGAAUGAUUGUGUAGUAACUAUACACAGUAGAGACGGUACCUAACCAGAAAGCCACGGCUAACUACGUGCCAGCAGCCGCGGUAAUACGUAGGUGGCAAGCGUUGUCCGGAAUUAUUGGGCGUAAAGCGCGCGCAGGUGGUUUAAUAAGUCUGAUGUGAAAGCCCACGGCUCAACCGUGGAGGGUCAUUGGAAACUGUUAAACUUGAGUGCAGGAGAGAAAAGUGGAAUUCCUAGUGUAGCGGUGAAAUGCGUAGAGAUUAGGAGGAACACCAGUGGCGAAGGCGGCUUUUUGGCCUGUAACUGACACUGAGGCGCGAAAGCGUGGGGAGCAAACAGGAUUAGAUACCCU